CUGCACAGCAAUCAACCAUUUGCUAGAAUCACUGCAACUGACUACCUCAAAUAUGUAGCAGGUUUCUCGGUGGAAUCAAUACUCUCAGCCACAAUGGUAUGUAUAAGCUACCAAUCUGCCUUUCCAUGCUUGGUGGAGGUUUAAUCUGUCUACAAGGUCUAUUCUUAGCAAUCGUAUACUGUGAUGCUGCUGAUGGUGUAGUUGAAGUAGGCAAUAUGUUACUGUAUGUCAGCUUUGAACUAGAUGGAUCUGAAGUGGAGUGUUCUGAAGCCUCUGAUUGUUCGCCUGAACCAAUUUCCAAUUUCACUUGAGUUGAACAACUUUGAUUCUUCGUUUUGCCAGAAUCCCCAUGAGGCAAACCAUUAACCACAACAAGUUCAUCAAAAACUACAUGUCUACUGACCACCAUCUUUCCUGUCUUAGGAUCUCGCAACUUAUUUCCAUUUAUACUUGAUUUAUACCCAAGAAAAAUGCACUUUCUAGACCUAAGUUCCAACUUUCCAUUAUCAACAUGAGUAAAAGUACGACACCCAAAGAUCUUCAAGUUAGAAUAAUAAAAAGGUUU
rnacentral:lncRNA from 1 species